GAUGAACGCUGGCGGCGUGCCUAAUACAUGCAAGUCGAGCGAACGGACGAGAAGCUUGCUUCUCUGAUGUUAGCGGCGGACGGGUGAGUAACACGUGGAUAACCUACCUAUAAGACUGGGAUAACUUCGGGAAACCGGAGCUAAUACCGGAUAAUAUUUUGAACCGCAUGGUUCAAAAGUGAAAGACGGUCUUGCUGUCACUUAUAGAUGGAUCCGCGCUGGAUUAGCUAGUUGGUAAGGUAACAGCUUACCAAGGCAACGAUGCAUAGCCGACCGGAGAGGGUGAUCGGCGACACUGGAACUGAGGCACGGUCCAGACUCCUACGGGAGGCAGCAGUAGGGAAUCUUACGCAAUGGGCGAAAGCCUGACGGAGCAACGCCGCGUGAGUGAUGAAGGUCUUCGGAUCGUAAAACUCUGUUAUUAGGGAAGAACAGAUGUGUAAGGAACUGUGCACAUCGUGACGGUACCUAAUCAGAAAGCCACGGCUAACUACGUG
rnacentral:rRNA from 1 species